GAUGAACGCUGGCGGCGUGCCUAAUACAUGCAAGUCGAGCGAACAGAUGAGGAGCUUGCUCCUCUGACGUUAGCGGCGGACGGGUGAGUAACACGUGGAUAACCUACCUAUAAGACUGGGAUAACUUCGGGAAACCGGAGCUAAUACCGGAUAAUAUAUUGAACCGCAUGGUUCAAUAGUGAAAGACGGUUUUGCUGUCACUUAUAGAUGGAUCCGCGCCGCAUUAGCUAGUUGGUAAGGUAACGGCUUACCAAGGCAACGAUGCGUAGCCGACCUGAGAGGGUGAUCGGCCACACUGGAACUGAGACACGGUCCAGACUCCUACGGGAGGCAGCAGUAGGGAAUGUUCCGCAAUGGGCGAAAGCCUGACAGAGCAACGCCGCGUGAGUGAUGAAGGUCUUCGGAUCGUAAAACUCUGUUAUUAGGGAAGAACAAAUGUGUAAGUAACUAUGCACGUCUUGACGGUACCUAAUCAGAAAGCCACGGCUAACUACGUG
rnacentral:rRNA from 1 species